rnacentral:rRNA from 1 species
CAAGUCGAACGCGAAAGUCCCGCAAGGGAUUAGUAGAGUGGCAAACGGGUGAGUAACACGUGGGUGACCUGCCUUCGAGCGGGGGAUAACGUCCCGAAAGGGACGCUAAUACCGCAUGACAUCCUGCCUUUGAAGAGGCGGCGAUCAAAGCUGGCGCAAGCUAGCACUCGAAGAGGGGCCCGCGCCCGAUUAGCUAGUUGGUGAGGUAACGGCUCACCAAGGCAACGAUCGGUAGCCGGCCUGAGAGGGCGGACGGCCACACUGGGACUGAGACACGGCCCAGACUCCUACGGGAGGCAGCAGUGGGGAAUUGUUCGCAAUGGGCGCAAGCCUGACGACGCAACGCCGCGUGGAGGAUGAAGAUCUUCGGGUCGUAAACUCCUUUCGAUCGAGACGAAUAGCCCCUGGGCUAAUCACCAGGGGAAUGACGGUACCGAGAGAAGAAGCCCCGGCUAACUCCGUGCCAGCAGCCGCGGUAAUACGGGGGGGGCAAGCGUUGUUCGGAAUUACUGGGCGUAAAGGGCUCGUAGGCGGCCAACUAAGUCAGACGUGAAAUCCCUCGGCUUAACCGGGGAACUGCGUCUGAUACUGGAUGGCUUGAGUUCGGGAGAGGGAUGUGGAAUUCCAGGUGUAGCGGUGAAAUGCGUAGAUAUCUGGAGGAACACCGGUGGCGAAGGCGGCAUCCUGGACCGACACUGACGCUGAUGAGCGAAAGCCAGGGGAGCAAACGGGAUUAGAUACCCCGGUAGUCCUGGCCCUAAACGAUGAAUGCUUGGUGUGGCGGGUAUCGAUCCCUGCCGUGCCGAAGCUAACGCAUUAAGCAUUCCGCCUGGGGAGUACGGUCGCAAGGCUGAAAC